AUGAACGCUAGCUACAGGCUUAACACAUGCAAGUCGAGGGGCAUCAGGAAGAAAGCUUGCUUUCUUUGCUGGCGACCGGCGCACGGGUGAGUAACACGUAUCCAACCUGCCCUUUACUCGGGGAUAGCCUUUCGAAAGAAAGAUUAAUACCCGAUGGCAUAAUGAUUCCGCAUGGUUUCAUUAUUAAAGGAUUCCGGUAAAGGAUGGGGAUGCGUUCCAUUAGGUUGUUGGUGAGGUAACGGCUCACCAAGCCUUCGAUGGAUAGGGGUUCUGAGAGGAAGGUCCCCCACAUUGGAACUGAGACACGGUCCAAACUCCUACGGGAGGCAGCAGUGAGGAAUAUUGGUCAAUGGGCGCUAGCCUGAACCAGCCAAGUAGCGUGAAGGAUGAAGGCUCUAUGGGUCGUAAACUUCUUUUAUAUAAGAAUAAAGUGCAGUAUGUAUACUGUUUUGUAUGUAUUAUAUGAAUAAGGAUCGGCUAACUCCGUGCCAGCAGCCGCGGUAAUACGGAGGAUCCGAGCGUUAUCCGGAUUUAUUGGGUUUAAAGGGAGCGUAGAUGGACUGGUAAGUCAGUUGUGAAAGUUUGCGGCUCAACCGUAAAAUUGCAGUUGAUACUGUCAGUCUUGAGUACAGUAGAGGUGGGCGGAAUUCGUGGUGUAGCGGUGAAAUGCUUAGAUAUCACGAAGAACUCCGAUUGCGAAGGCAGCUCACUGGACUGCAACUGACACUGAUGCUCGAAAGUGUGGGUAUCAAACAGGAUUAGAUACCCUGGUAGUCCACACAGUAAACGAUGAAUACUCGCUGUUUGCGAUAUACAGUAAGCGGCCAAGCGAAAGCAUUAAGUAUUCCACCUGGGGAGUACGCCGGCAACGGUGAAACUCAAAGGAAUUGACGGGGGCCCGCACAAGCGGAGGAACAUGUGGUUUAAUUCGAUGAUACGCGAGGAACCUUACCCGGGCUUAAAUUGCAGUGGAAUGAUGUGGAAACAUGUCAGUGAGCAAUCACCGCUGUGAAGGUGCUGCAUGGUUGUCGUCAGCUCGUGCCGUGAGGUGUCGGCUUAAGUGCCAUAACGAGCGCAACCCUUAUCUUUAGUUACUAACAGGUUAUGCUGAGGACUCUAGAGAGACUGCCGUCGUAAGAUGUGAGGAAGGUGGGGAUGACGUCAAAUCAGCACGGCCCUUACGUCCGGGGCUACACACGUGUUACAAUGGGGGGUACAGAAGGCAGCUAGCGGGUGACCGUAUGCUAAUCCCAAAAGCCUCUCUCAGUUCGGAUCGAAGUCUGCAACCCGACUUCGUGAAGCUGGAUUCGCUAGUAAUCGCGCAUCAGCCACGGCGCGGUGAAUACGUUCCCGGGCCUUGUACACACCGCCCGUCAAGCCAUGGGAGCCGGGGGUACCUGAAGUACGUAACCGCAAGGAUCGUCCUAGGGUAAAACUGGUGACUGGGGCU
rnacentral:rRNA from 1 species